UACAGAGGUCUCAACCGUUGUUCGGAUUCAUUGGGCGUAAAGGGUGCGUAGGCGGUCGUGCAAGUCGGAUGUGAAAUCUCAGGGCUCAACCCUGAAACUGCAUUCGAUACUGCGCGGCUAGAGUGCUGGAGGGGAGACUGGAAUUUACGGUGUAGCAGUGAAAUGCGUAGAUAUCGUAAGGAAGACCAGUGGCGAAGGCGAGUCUCUGGACAGCAACUGACGCUGAGGCACGAAGGCGUGGGGAGCGAACGGG
rnacentral:rRNA from 1 species